UCCCAGAUGAAGAGCGGCGUGACCCCAGGUGCGCGGGCCGUGGCACACACUAACGUGUUACGGUUACCUUCUUAGGGCCGCGGCCUUUGUGGGGCCCGCAGCCUCUCACGCACCCGAGUUCCGUUACACGGCACCUUUAAAAAGCUGGGACAACCCAGAUGGUUGAAGAGACCAAUGACUGAGGACCCAUGCAAAUGAUUUAACGUCUCCCGGGCAGGGAGAUUGGUCCUGCGCUGCUGACGUCACAAAACAUUUCGCCACCCCGCCCCCAGCGCGGCCCGGGGGGGUGGGGUAGGGUGGGGUGGGGUGGAGAGGUUCUGGUUCAGCUGAAGUGGGAAGAGCUAGAAUCCCCUGACCUAAGCAAGCCCAGGGAAGUUUCUGCACUUUAGUUCUCUAUGCCUCCCAACGCCUGUGAGCCUAGGGAUUAUGACAAGCAGUCCAUCGUACUGGAAAGAAGAGUCACUCCCCCGGUGGAUCAAUAUGAGUUCGAGAACAGACUGGUCUACAUAGCUACAGAGACCUUGUCUUCAAAAGACAAACAACAAAAGUCUCACACACCCAGGUGGUAACACAGCUGAGGCGAGAGAAGGGGCAGACGUUGGUCUCCCCUUAGGAUGUCCCCCAGGCAAACAUACAAAGUGGUACCCCACUUUGUCUGCACCGAUUGCAUAAGCAGAACAUCACCACCAUUACCUAAAGCACUCAAGUCUACUAGGAUGGUUUGUAGUAACUGGACUCCUCCAGCGCCCACCAACCCAGAACAAGAUGUCAGUAGAAAAUUGCAACAUUUGUUAAACCUCUGUGGCUACAGAUGCGUGACACUCUGUACUUUGGGGAUGUAUCCCAUAAUCUCAAAUAUUAAAAACAAAAACAAAAACAGUUUGCUAACAAGA